UACGUAGGGUGCAAGCGUUAAUCGGAAUUACUGGGCGUAAAGAGCUUGUAGGCGGUUUGUCGCGUCUGCUGUGAAAUUUCGGGGCUCAACCCCGAACUUGCAGUGGGUACGGGCAGACUAGAGUGUGGUAGGGGAGACUGGAAUUCCUGGUGUAGCGGUGAAAUGCGCAGAUAUCAGGAGGAACACCGAUGGCGAAGGCAGGUCUCUGGGCCAUAACUGACGCUGAGAAGCGAAAGCAUGGGGAGCGAACAGG
rnacentral:rRNA from 1 species